rnacentral:rRNA from 1 species
UACGUAGGGUGCAAGCGUUAAUCGGAAUUACUGGGCGUAAAGCGUGCGCAGGCGGUUUUGUAAGACUGUCGUGAAAUCCCCCGGGCUCAACCUGGGAAUGGCGAUGGUGACUGCAAGGCUAGAGUUUGGCAGAGGGGGGGUAGAAUUCCACGUGUAGCAGUGAAAUGCGUAGAUAUGUGGAGGAACACCGAUGGCGAAGGCAGCCCCCCUGGGUCAAAACUGACGCUCAUGCACGAAAGCGUGGGGAGCAAACAGG